GUGCCUCACAAGGGACAACACUCCGAUUGUCUAGGAGGAGGAAGGUCAGGGACAGAAAAGUAAAAGCCAGGAGCAGCCUGUCCUGUCUGCCUGGGCUGCUGGGGAAUGAUUGUCAGUGAAUCGAGUUGUCUGUGGAGCCCCUGAGCAAAUUCUCCCAGUGGCAGGUUGGACUUGAACUGGCACUGUUGCUGGGGAUGAUCGUGAUGAUGGUCCUUCUGUCUCUGUCUCCCAAGUGCUGGGAUUACAGCAGAUCUCGCAAAAGGGGAGGAAGGCCUUCACCGCUGAACCCGAGCUUUGCCAUUUCGAAGUGCUGAGUCACCUCGUCCUCUCAGGGUCAGACACUUUCACGCAGGAAACGUCCUGCAGAGCACCGCAGCGGGAGCACCGAGCUGGUGUAUAGGUGUGAACCAAGUGCACGUCUAGUUCCCUUGGAGGCCAGAAAGAAGGCGGUGUCAGAUCCCCAGGAACCAUAGUUACAGAUGGUUGAUGUGGAAAC
ensembl:lincRNA Gm19705 predicted gene, 19705